ACUACGGGAGGCAGCAGUGGGGAAUAUUGGGCAAUGGGCGCAAGCCUGACCCAGCAACGCCGCGUGAAGGAAGAAGGCUUUCGGGUUGUAAACUUCUUUUCUCAGGGACGAAGCAAGUGACGGUACCUGAGGAAUAAGCCACGGCUAACUACGUGCCAGCAGCCGCGGUAAUACGUAGGUGGCAAGCGUUAUCCGGAUUUACUGGGUGUAAAGGGCGUGUAGGCGGGGACGCAAGUCAGAUGUGAAAACCACGGGCUCAACCUGUGGCCUGCAUUUGAAACUGUGUUUCUUGAGUACUGGAGAGGCAGACGGAAUUCCUAGUGUAGCGGUGAAAUGCGUAGAUAUUAGGAGGAACACCAGUGGCGAAGGCGGUCUGCUGGACAGCAACUGACGCUGAGGCGCGAAAGCGUGGGGAGCAAACAGGAUUAGAUACCCGAGUAGUC
rnacentral:rRNA from 1 species